rnacentral:lncRNA from 1 species
UCAAUUUAACUAUAACUUGAUGACACAAGGUACCUAAUACAAUUGCUUCUAGGAAAGCUGAAAGGUACACUAUAAAACCUACUACAAUUGAACUAGAAAUAAACACUCAGAUGGAACUGGUUCUUCUCUAGGUUCAUGUAGCUGUAGGCGUACACACUUGUAACUUACAUAUAUUGCUUGCAAAUAAGACAUGCUCUUUUUUCUCUCAGAUAUGCUUUGCUUAUGCUUGUGUGUGUAUCCCUGUAAAAGAGAACUAACGCAAUCAUAUAGAGUUAGUAGUUAGAGUUUGAUUAAGACUCCGUUUCUCAUCCGUACAGAAUUUGAGUCCUUUGCCAACACAAACUCCAACUCUUAUCAUAACUUAGGAUUAAGUUCAAUUCACAUAAGGAGACUGUCCACCUUAUCCCAAAUUCAACCUUUUCGAUUAUGUUCAUAAGAUAUUGAUGCGUGAUCUUUAGUGCAUUAUCUUCCUCACAUGCUCUGCAUGUGCACUGAUUGAUUCAGACUGUGUAGUAAAAGAUGGACCAGGUCCUUCCAUCAGUUCAUUUGUCAAUCUUCAAAACUCAACUGAAACUUGGGCCAACAAUUUUUCCCUUUUUGGUGAUGACAAACUCUUUGCUUAUUGUGACCAGGGAGCCUGUAAAAUUACCUGAAAACAACACUUAGAAAAUGAUUUAACUUAUCAUUAAGGAGGUCAGAUUUAGGUCAUAAAUAUCACUAGUUCAGAAAAUAAAUUUUAGGCACAAUAUCUUCCCCCUUUUGGCAUCAUCAAAAGCUGCAUAAAUAAUGUGAAUCCUUGAAGUUAAUUUUUACUCAUGGCCGCAACUCCAAGUGUACGCAUGUUUAAUUUAAUCAAAAAUCAAAUUAGAAAUAACUAUUAAGAACAAGAUUAACAAGAAC